GUCAAAAGGGUUAUUUCAAAGGGAUGCUAUCUUAUGACUUAGGUAUUCACAAAUUUUAUGGACCAAAAUCCACCAAAUGUGGGUCCCGUAGCUUAUAGGUUGGAUAAGUGGAAAAUUCACAACUUAUCUGGCUUAGGGAUUUUGGUUUUUGUAGGUUCUGGAGUAUGUUUUGCCUUGACCAUUCUGCGUUAUAUGGUGAUCCCACUCAUGAUGGUUUCACUAUUUGUGAAGUGGGACGAGGGGUUGUGGAGGUGAAAUAAUUUGGUGUUCCAGACGCAGUUAAAUCAAUGUCAUGGUGUGCUGAGAAUAUAUGUGUGGGAAUCAGAACAGCGUAUACGAUCUUGAAUGCUACAAAUGAUGCCUUGUCUGAGGUGUUUUCUUCAGGGAGGAUUGCCCCCAACUUUGGUGAUAUCUCUUCCAUAUGGAGAACUUCUUUUGGGCAAGGUAAUAUAUUUCUUAUGGGUAGCUAAUAUACAUGAAACCAAGACUAGACUAUAACUCAAUCAAAGGUUGAAUCAGUUGUUUGUUUUAUGCUUUUGAUGCAUUCGGAGUAUAUCACUUUGAUGUCGUUAUGGGUAUAAUACUUUUGCAAUGUACAAUACAGUGAUGGAACAUGUCAUAGUUUAUUCAGAUGAAUAUUGCACAUAUAGAUAAUGAACUGUGUUCCUGUAGAAAUUUAAUUAUAUAAAAAUCAAGAAAAUAAUAAAUAUCCUAUCGUCAUAUUAGGUAUGCUUGGAUUAUUCGACAACCGAAACAUAAAAGUAUGAUAUCUAAGUUGGUUUGAAUUGCUACUUUCUGACAAUGAGGAUUUUUUGAGUAUUGUUGUUUAUGUGUUGCUAUGUACUGUGCAGUCUGUGCUGAACAACUCUGUUUAUUAUUCUCUGUAUUAAUUCUUUGGUUAACUGAUAAUUACAUUGAUAGUAAUUUACACUCAGGAAUUCUUGUAUAUAUGUAGAUAUAAGAAUUGGUGUGGCCAUGUUUGUUAUCUUCUAGAAAUUUUAUUAUUUUCUAUAUCAUUAUCAUUGAAAUAGGACUUCUUUAAAAAAUCAUAAUCAUGAUGUGCAUGCUAUAGUAUUUAUUUGCAAGGUAGGAUCAGUGUUCAUCUAAUUGUGAAGGCACCAUUGAACAGUACUUCUAAAAAUUGUGUGACUAAGAUUUUACCAGACAAGACACAACAUCUUUCCUUUUUUCAAUUCUACAGUUGAAAAGUAAACACACUUGAAGGUUAAAUAUGAUCAGUUGCUUUUCGUUCAUUCCUUGAUGUUCAUUCUAUAGUUCUUACGUUCUGUUGUGGCCAAAACAAGUUUAAUUUAUUUUCUUAGCUAAGGCAUAUGUAUACUUUUGUUAUGAUGCAGACCAUUUCUUUGUUCUAUUUUACUUAUUGCUGCUUAAACCCUUGCAUAUAUGACCAUUUUUAUCAGGUCCUUGCUUGUAAAAAUUAGUUUUCUUGUGGCAACUUUGUGAGACAUACAAAAGUUGAAGAUUAUACCCAAUUCUUUUGGGGGGUUUUUUGUUCAAAGGCUAGUGUUUUGACUACACAGGAUAAUAUUUGGUGCUAAUCUCUGGGCCUGAUUUGGAAUUCAUGGUCAGUGAUAGCAGUGAAGAGAGGAGAUCAACCUGGGAACUAUAUAUAAUGAAAAUAGUCAACCUACACAUAUAUAACAUGUAUGCUUCUGUUCACUUUGUUAUAUCACUAGCACAACACAUAUGCACAUAUCACAGUCUGGGUUUUUCUUUAAGAAGAUGGUUUGUGCGGGCAACUGCUUAAACCCUUGCAUAUAUGACCAUUUUUAUCAGGUCCUUGCUUGUAAAAAUUAGUUUUCUUGUGGCAACUUUGUGAGACAUACCAAAGUUGAAGAUUAUACCCAAUUCUUUUGGGGGGUUUUUUGUUCAAAAGCUAGUGUUUUGACUACACAGGAUAAUAUUUGGUGCUAAUCUCUGGGCCUGAUUUGGAAUUCAUGGUCAGUGAUAGCAGUGAAGAGAGGAGAUCGACCUGGGAACUAUAUAUAAUGAAAAUAGUCAACCUACACAUAUAUAACAUGUAUG
rnacentral:lncRNA from 1 species